GACGAACGCUGGCGGCGUGCUUAACACAUGCAAGUCGAGCGAGUGGAUUCCCUUCGGGGAUGAAGCUAGCGGCGGACGGGUGAGUAACACGUGGGCAACCUUCCUUAUAGAGGGGGAUAGCCUUCCGAAAGGAAGAUUAAUACCGCAUAACAUCAGAUUAUCGCAUGGUAGACUGAUCAAAGGAGCAAUCCGCUAUAAGAUGGGCCCGCUUCGCAUUAGCUAGUUGGUGAGGUAACGGCUCACCAAGGCGACGAUGCGUUGCCGACCUGAGAGGGUGAUCGGCCACAUUGGGACUGGUACACGGCCCAGACUCCUACGGGAGGCAGCAGUGGGGAAUAUUGCACAAUGGGGGAAACCCUGAUGCAGCAACGCCGCGUGAGUGAUGAAGGCCUUCGGGUUGUAAAGCUCUUUGAUCAGGGACGAUAAUGACGGUACCUGAAGAACUAGCCACGGCUGACUACGUGCCAGCAGCCGCCGUAACAC
rnacentral:rRNA from 1 species